rnacentral:antisense_RNA from 1 species
GAGCAGCUGCGGUAAGACCAGGAGGACAGGUGCGGGUGGGAGUGUGGAUGGGUCUCCAGGUGCGGGUGAGAGCGUGGAUGGGUCUCCAGGGUGGGGGGGGGGAUGGGUCUCCAGGUGUGGGUGGGAGUGUGAAUGAGUCUCCAGGUCCCCCUCUGUCCCUCCUGGGUCCCCCUACUUCCUGGGGCCUGAAAUCCCCAAGGAAGUCUUGCUGGUUGGGGGCGGGGGGAAUGGUCUUACCUUGUGACCCCUAUGUGUCGCGAGAGGGUCUCCCAGCGGCUGCCUGCAAAGAAAGACGGGAACCCAGGUCAGGCUCUGCCCAGCCAGCACCAUGGCCUGGUCAUCCCUGGAGCGUUUCACCUGGACCAUCCGGGCCAGACAUAAAUCAGGCUGAGUCAACCCCCCCAGGAGACUCAGGGUCACUGCAGGGCCCUCUCCCUGCCCCGCCCCCUCAGCGACUCACAGCUGGGUCCCAGGAGCUGGUCCAGGUGGGGCACAGUGUGCAGGCAGAUCUGGAGGGUGAGAUGGGCG